UAUUCUGACAAGUCCCUAUACACCCAGCUGUGCUUUUACCGGUACAUUUUUGAUGUGGACUGUGCACUGGAGAAACUUACUACCGAUCAUGAGAAAGAUAAAUUGAAUAAGCAGUUUCUUACCCCCAAAGUUCGUCAGGAAUACAGAAAACUCAAGAACACAGCAGAGCAGUUCCUGUCCCGAAGUGGCUACUCUGAAGUGAACCUCAGCAAACUCUUCGCUGGUUGUGCUGUGAAAUCCUAAGGGAAUCCCAGGAAUGAACAAGGAGGGGGUAGUUGAAAAAAAUCCCCGCUUCCUCUGUACCCCCGCUUUGACCCUAACUGCUUCUCUAGCAUCUGCUUUUCCCUUUAGGACUGUGUCUUAUGUUUGUGUGGAUGUGGACCUGUGGAGGAAUUGCAAAACAUAUUGAAUCAACCGAGCAUCACAGAAGAUCUACACAGUCUUCCUAUUAAGAUGGACUGCUUUGAAACAUGACUUUAGAGCCCUUCCCCAAGCACCUGAAGAGGUAGCAUACUGAGGACUAGGUUUUUGGGGAAGGAAAAUUGCUACUUUGAGAGUAGCUGGAAUGUAAAUGACCCAGGGCUUUGCCCCCAGAGCCUUUAGCUGAGGUGCCCCUAGAAAGAGAGAUUCUCUUCAGCCUGGCUGAAGAGUUAAUGUUUUGCCUUUUCACAUGCCAAUUAAACCCAGUCUAAAUCCAAACGCUUCCCCAGCCGCUUGCUCCAGGAGUGGCUGUCCUUUUCAGUCUUGUCUUUUGUAGAGAGAGGUAGCUGACGUGGGAGAUUUAGAAGCCUUGCACUCACUAAAUAGAUUAAACAGAGCGAGCUUGUUUUUUGAAUUGCUCCUAAGUCCAGCACACACUGAGCAGGUGUUUUACACUCACAUUCCCUUUUUCCCCCUUAAAUAGAAGGUGCAGGUAAAGGUUUACACAACAGGAAAGCACAUUUAAAAUAAUUUGAUUUGCUAACAGUUCAUUAAAAUGUGUACAAUUCGGGGCAAGGAUCACUGUGUUGUAUUCAGAAAAAUUGGGAGGGGAUAGUUCAUUGGCCCUGAUGCUUGAUGCUUGCGAUUUUUCCUCAUUUCUUCAGAAUGGUGCCCUCUCGGCCAGCAGCAAAAUACAUUUCCAUAUGGCAAUCUUUCCUUUCUUAUAUCAUUGGUAAGAUCAUACUAACAAAAUCUCUCCCUGUGUACAACUAUACUUUGUUUUUUAAAAAAAUGUUUACCAAUGUGUUUUUAUAAAAGAAAAAUAUGUUGUGCCUUUUACUUAAGAAUAAAGUUUUCUAAAGGGAAA